GCCUAAAGCGUCCGUAGCCGGCUAUGUUAGUUCUCGGUUAAAUCCAUGUGCUCAACACAUGGGCUGUCGAGAAUACUGCUUAGCUAGGGAGUGGGAGAGGUAGACGGUACUCGGUAGGAAGGGGUAAAAUCCUUUGAUCUAUCGAUGACCACCAGUGGCGAAGGCGGUCUACCAGAACACGUCCGACGGUGAGGGAUGAAAGCUGGGGGAGCAAACCGGAUUAGAUACCCGGGUAGUCCCAGCUGUAAACUAUGCAAACUCAGUGAUGCAUUGGCUUGUGGCCAGUGCAGUGCCGCAGAGAAGUAGUUAAGUUUGCCGCCUGGGAAGUACGUACGCAAGUAUGAAACUUAAAGGAAUUGGCGGGGGAGCACCACAAGGGGUGAAGCCUGCGGUUCAAUUGGAGUCAACGCCAGAAAUCUUACCCGGGGAGACAGCAGAAUGAAGGUCAAGCUGAAGACUUUACCAGACAAGCUGAGAAGUGGUGCAUGGCCGUCGCCAGCUCGUGCCGUGAGGUGUCCUGUUAAGUCAGGUAACGAGCGAGAUCCCUGCCUCUAGUUGCCGCCAUUACUCUCAGGAGUAGUGGGGCGAAUUAGCGGGACUGCCGUAGUUAAUACGGAGGAAGGAGAGGGCCACGGCAGGUCAGUAUGCCCCGAA
rnacentral:rRNA from 1 species